UCAUAUAAAAUAUCUGCGCAACAACAGUAUAACGACAUCGAAUUGUCAUUAGAGAAUAGGUCUACAGAAUGCCUUAAACAAACCUUAAAUAAAUGAUUAAUUUCAAAACGGAAAAAGACAGAAUUCUUUUUCACUAUUCAGUGCUACGAACAUAAAAGUUUAAAAAAUUGGCAGCCAUGAUGCAGAACACAGUCCGACUCUGCUUCGUAGCUGUGUCGAAAUGUGUGUUGUGUUGUGUCGUAACAGAAAAGCACGUAUAGCGACACUGUGUUACACUGUGUCAACUGUGUCGCUUGCUGGAAAGCUCCCAAUGUUUACGCUGUAAUUUUGUGUGUUGUGUAAUUUAAAUAUAUGCGAAAUGGUAUAUCUAUCUCCUCCGUAAACAGCAUUACUUUUGAUAAUGUUGGCGCCCUCUCGUAACCACUUCCGUUACUUCCCACUUAAGAUCAAUGUCUCCUGGUUAAUAAUGUCAAUCGCUUUGUUAUCGACUGAUAUAUCGAUAAUACGGAGAUAUCUAUGAAAGAGUUAUCGAUAACUACUCAUCGAUUUUACCGUGCUUCAGCAGAGCGUGAUUACGCGUCAAUCUAAUCGACAUGUCGACGAAAGAGAGAAAAUUUUGCAACGCAUAAAUGUAAUUCUCGAAAUAACGAACGAAAAAUGAAGGCGAGACAUUACAAUGUGCAAAGUUAAAUCAGCGGUGCUCUCAUGUCCAAGCACAUAACAUCAGUGUUCAAGGAAUGCUGUUUGUCUUCUAGGUUUUUAUCGGUACAUAUCAACAAAGAUUCCAGACUGUUGUAGGUUGAUCUAGAGAAUUAAUAAAAUAUAAAGCAGAGAAAGGACUUCAUUCUUCAAGCCUGAUUCAACUGUGUCCUUACACAACUCGGAGCCAGGUCGAUAAAUGCGAUUUUCCAAUCGUGUC